rnacentral:rRNA from 1 species
UAGGGAAUAUUAGUAAUGGGCGAAAGCCUGAACUAGCAACGCCGCGUGUGCGAAGAAGGCCUUCGGGUCGUAAAGCACUUUUUGAGAGGAUGAGGAAGGACGGUACUCUCAGAAUAAGUCUCGGCUAACUACGUGCCAGCAGCCGCGGUAACACGUAGGAGGCAAACGUUAUCCGGAUUUACUAGGCGUAAAGCGCGUGUAGGUGGUUUGGUAAGUAGGGCGUGAAAGCUCCUGGCUCAACUGGGAGAGGACGUUCUAAACUGCCAAGCUUGAGGAUGGUAGAGGGAGGUGGAAUUCCGGGUGUAGCGGUGGAAUGCGCAGAUAUCCGGAGGAACACCAGUGGCGAAGGCGGUCUCCUGGACCACUCCUGACACUCAGACGCGAAAGCUAGGGUAGCAAACGG